rnacentral:rRNA from 1 species
GAUGAACGCUAGCGGCAGGCCUAAUACAUGCAAGUCGAACGGGAUCAGGGAGCUUGCUCCCUGUGAGAGUGGCGCACGGGUGCGUAACACGUAUGCAACCUACCUUCAACUGGGGGAUAGCCUUCCGAAAGGAGGAUUAAUACCGCAUAACACAAUUGAAUGGCAUCAUUUGAUUAUCAAACGUCAGGGUUUAAGAUGGGCAUGCGUCCGAUUAGCUAGUUGGUGUGGUAACGGCACACCAAGGCGACGAUCGGUAGGGGAUCUGAGAGGAUGACCCCCCACACUGGUACUGAGACACGGACCAGACUCCUACGGGAGGCAGCAGUAAGGAAUAUUGGUCAAUGGACGCAAGUCUGAACCAGCCAUGCCGCGUGCAGGAAGACGGUCCUCUGGAUUGUAAACUGCUUUUGUUAGGGAAGAAACCCUCGGAUGCGUCCGGGGCUGACGGUACCUAAAGAAUAAGGAUCGGCUAACUCCGUGCCAGCCGCCGCGGUAAUAC